rnacentral:rRNA from 1 species
ACGAACGCUGGCGGCGUGCCUAAUACAUGCAAGUUGAGCGCUGAAGAUUGGUGCUUGCCCCAAUUUGAAGAGCAGCGAACGGGUGAGUAACGCGUGGGGAAUCUGCCUUUGAGCGGGGGACAACAUUUGGAAACGAAUGCUAAUACCGCAUAACAACUUUAAACAUAAGUUUUAAGUUUGAAAGAUGCAAUUGCAUCACUCAAAGAUGAUCCCGCGUUGUAUUAGCUAGUUGGUGAGGUAAAGGCUCACCAAGGCGAUGAUACAUAGCCGACCUGAGAGGGUGAGCGGCCACAUUGGGACUGAGACACGGCCCAAACUCCUACGGGAGGCAGCAGUAGGGAAUCUUCGGCAAUGGACGAAAGUCUGACCGAGCAACGCCGCGUGAGUGAAGAAGGUUUUCGGAUCGUAAAACUCUGUUGGUAGAGAAGAACGUUGGUGAGAGUGGAAAGCUCAUCAAGUGACGGUAACUACCCAGAAAGGGACGGCUAACUACGUG